CCUACGGGAGGCAGCAGUGGGGAAUUUUCCGCAAUGGGCGAAAGCCUGACGGAGCAAUACCGCGUGAGGGAGGAAGGCUCUUGGGUUGUAAACCUCUUUUGUCAGGGAAGAAGAUCUGACGGUACCUGACGAAUCAGCAUCGGCUAACUCCGUGCCAGCAGCCGCGGUAAUACGGGGGAUGCAAGCGUUAUCCGGAAUUAUUGGGCGUAAAGCGUCCGCAGGUGGUUGUUCAAGUCUGCUGUUAAAGCAUGGGGCUUAACUCCAUAUAGGCAGUGGAAACUGGACGACUAGAGUACGGUAGGGGUCGCGGGAAUUCCCAGUGUAGCGGUGAAAUGCGUAGAUAUUGGGAAGAACACCAGUGGCGAAAGCGCGCGGCUGGACCUGUACUGACACUGAGGGACGAAAGCUAGGGGAGCGAAAGGGAUUAGAUACCCCUGUAGUCCUAGCUGUAAACGAUGGAUACUAGGUGUUGCCCGUAUCGACCCGGGCAGUGCCGUAGCUAACGCGUUAACGUAUCCCGCCUGGGGAGUACGCACGCAAGUGUGAACUCAAGGAAUUGACGGCUGNGAGNGCGACGCGACGACGAGGAGAG
rnacentral:rRNA from 1 species